rnacentral:rRNA from 1 species
AUGCUUCAUCCUCGGUUUGCGAAGAACUUUGCCUUUCAUCCACCAUGGGGUGACUACCAUGAAAUUGGCCUCAUCAAACCAAGAAAUCCCCAGGAGAGACCUCCGCCACCACCAAAUGCUCAUGAGUCCUCCCUUCGUACUCCCACAUCUUAUCCUGAUGAGUUUGCUAAGUGUGAGAAGAAUGCCCUCAAGAGAGCCAAGAAGGCUGAAAAGGAAAGGGCUCAUGAAGAAGAAAAUUGUGGCCUUCUCAAAGCUGAUGUUGAGAAGAAAAAGGCUGAAGGAAAAUCUGAAGGUCGCUCCAAACACAAACAUGAUCCCAGUGCAAAGCGAAAGAGUGCAUCGAAGCAGAGGCCGGCUGAACAAACCGAUAAAAAUGCCGAAAGCAAUUCUUCCGACAAAGAUGAUCCUCCGCUCACUAAGGAUGAGGUUGAAGCUACUCUCAGCGAGCAAGUGAACAUCACAACCUCUACGGUGCUGCCUGAUAUUCAGGUUCGAAAGGUUCUAAUUGCACCACCAAAGAAAAUUGUUGCUAGAAAAACUCCACCGACCACAGUCACCAUGAAAGAUUUUGUGGAUACAACUCCUCAUCCUGAGGCUAUCAACUUGAAGGAUUUGGUAGUUGAUGCUCCUGUCGGCACUGCCAAGCCAGGCGAACCAAUUCCAAAGCCGAAAAUGAAGAAAAUCAAGGCUCCAGCCAUCGAGCAAAUUGCUCCUCAAGAUUCUGCGCCGAAGGAAAAGGCUGCCAGUUUUGCCCUGACACCGAUGCAGUCGUUGGUUUCUAUGCCUGCAUCCAAGCAAGUUCAAGUGCAACAUGCUCCAACUGCCCUGUCUGGUGCAUCUCACUAUUACAAUCAUGUGUUCUUCAUGGAGCAGCUUGAUAAGUUUGUAGACAAUCCAUUCGAUGGUGAAGCGGCAUCUUUGCCAAUCCCUCCUAAAGUUGUUUCACAGGCAACUGAAGUUGUUCAAGAAAUGAGAGAAGAUUCCGUUGAAAUCAACAACCUCAUUGUCGAACUGAAUGACCUGGAUGGUCGAAUGAAAACUACUUCUUCCAAGUUGUCAUUAGACAACUUGAAGACUCCUAUAAGGAUACAAACCGUGCACUCACUCUGCUUCACAACAGAAGACUCCACCUCUCGGCAUUCGUCGUGCCGAACGAUUCCUCGAGCUUGGACGACAAAGACGACGACGAGGCUUCCGGUUGUACCUCAUCGAAGGAGGAGGAAGAGGGGGAGCAACCCCAUGCUGGUGUGGCGGUACAUGGUGGCGGCAUCAUGGUGCCCCUCGUUCGUUGGAGGUGGAGCAACACCGCAGCGCUGA